GACGAACCGUACGAACGUUAUUCGGAAUCACUGGGCUUAAAGGGUGCGUAGGCGGCGCGACAAGUUGGGUGUGAAAUCCCUCGGCUCAACCGAGGAACUGCGCCCAAAACUGUCGUGCUCGAGGGAGACAGAGGUGAGCGGAACUUAGGGUGGAGCGGUGAAAUGCGUUGAUAUCCUAAGGAACACCGGUGGCGAAAGCGGCUCACUGGGCCGAUACUGACGCUGAGGAGCGAAAGCGUGGGGAGCGAACAGG
rnacentral:rRNA from 1 species